CGCACAGUUCUCACCGACUAAAACCCUCCGCCUUUCUACUAGGGCUUUUCUUAUCGUAAGAAAAAGCUCGACUAGGAUUCGAAGAAUUGCUCUCUAAUCGUCACUCUUAGAACGGUCUUAGCUCUCUGAAUCUCUUUGCCAUGUCAAUGGAGGAGGAUGCCAGUGUAAAGGUCGCAAGAAAGCUCUGUGUUAACGACGGUUAACUCGUCUGCGAGAUGUUCUUGGUAAAAGCCGUUAUAGUUGAGAAGAUUCUCACUGAGUUUCCAGGUCUCUUGCAUGUAUCCCGGAAUUCGGUCAUGGUCUGUCAGUUGGACACAAUUAGUUAAGGUCCCGUAAAUUUUACUCUAUAUUUGUUUAUAGUGUUCCUGCAGCAAAUACGAUCGCCUCAUGCCCCUACGUAUGAAAAGCCAAAGUCCUUGGAGGAUGUUUUGCUUCACAUGCAUCUUUAUGAUCACCUUUUCUCUGCAAGCUCGAUCCGAAGCAAUUUGAGGUCACCUGCCUCAAGACCACCGCUGACCCCAAGUUCCUUGCCAUCCACUUUCAUCAAAAAAAGUUCUUCCUUGCCAUCCACAAUCUAUUGACCUUGCUCCUCAUGUUUGCCCACCUGCCACUGCUUAAGAUUAGAAUAAAUUGCUACACUGAUCAUGGACCUAAAUGCGCACCAGUGUCUUUUUGCCGCUGAGAAUUAGUCAAAGGUAUCUAUGAGUUAAAAGGAAGCUCCCAUCCAUGCAGCGGCGCUGUACCUCUCAGCCAUUUGUGCCAUGAACAUAGGGAGCUCAUGAGUACCCAAAAGGAUCUUAUGAUCGUGUCAGGCUUUUUGAUCCAUUGUGAUCUAGUACAUUAGGAAACUAAAGCUAGAUGGGCUUAUGGUAGGGCUAUAGGAACUAAGUGUUACAUAAAGAGGAAAUGAGGGUAGG